rnacentral:rRNA from 1 species
UGCCAGACUCCUACGGGAGGCAGCAGUGGGGAAUAUUGCACAAUGGGGGAAACCCUGAUGCAGCAACGCCGCGUGAGUGAGGAAGUAUUUCGGUAUGUAAAGCUCUAUCAGCAGGGAAUAGAAAAGAAGGUACCUGAAAAAGAAGCCCCGGCUAACUACGUGCCAGCAGCCGCGGUAAUACGUAGGGGGCAAGCGUUAUCCGGAUUUACUGGGUGUAAAGGGAGCGCAGACGGCAGUGCAAGUCUGGAGUGAAAGCCCGGGGCGCAACCCCGGGACUGCUCUUGGAACUGCGCGGCUGGAGUGCAGGAGGGGCAGGCGGAAUUCCUGGUGUAGCGGUGAAAUGCGUAGAUAUCAGGAGGAACACCGGUGGCGAAGGCGGCCUGCUGGACUGCGACUGACGUUGAGGCCCGAAAGCGUGGGGAGCAAACAGGAUUAGAUACCCGUGUACU